AGAUGAAGAAACUGAGGUGUGACGGGGUUAAGUAAUUUCUCCAGGAUUACACGAAUAAGACAUGAUUUGAUUUGAGUGUGAAGAUGUUUCAAGAAAUCAGAAGAUCACAGACUACUUGUGCAACCAAUGACAACAAUAAACAAUGCUUUGAUUGCUAGAAGAGUUAUUUGAAAAAUUAAUGACCCUGCCAAGAGGUUAGGCAUCACCUGUUCUUCCCAGCCCAGCUAAAAUAAGCCUAUUCCAGUACAGGUCUAGCCUUCUGGCAAAAGGAGAUAUGUCUUCAAAAACCAAGUUGUCUCAUUUCACACCCGGACCAACAAGCAACUGCAGAACUAUCAGGAAUUACAGGUUUCACAACUGGAGGCUCUGACGCAGACAAUUUGGCCCAAAUUUCAACAGAUACACCCGUUUGCUAAAGGAAUGAAGGCUUCAAACCUCACUCACUGUCUCCAGAAUGAAUUAAUAUUUUAUCAAAAUUUGAUACUGUUUCCUUAAAAAAAGAUCUUUCUGUAUUUAACUACUCUAAGAUACAUAGCAAAAUUAGCAAAGCAUUCUGAACAUCCUAGAUUCUCUCAAUUAUAGCCUGUCUACAUAGUUUUGGGAUUAUCAUUGCCCUACUAUACAAUUAUUAUCAUUAUUAAUCACAUUAUUGAGUACAUACAACACACUAAGCACCAUACUAUGUACAUUAUAUGUAUUAUUUAAUUUGACUUCCUAGCCCACUUAAAGCAGGUGCUUUUAUUAUCAUAUAUAAUGUGUGUGUGUGUGUGUGUGUGUGUGUGUGUAAUUUGAGUCGGGUUAUUACUAGCCCUGGUGGUAGACAAAUAUAAAUGGAUAACCCAGGAUUUCUCUUCCCCAUUUCCUAACAAUACCUUGGAAAAUGGGGAUGAUGAGAGUAUCUAUUCACAGGAUGGUAGUGAGCUUUAUAUAAAUGAAUAUAUGACUAUCACAAAUAAAGCUGCCAUACACAUUCAAUUUUUGAGGCUUUGUAUGGAUAUGUUUUCUUUUCUCUUGGGAAAAUGAAUUAGUGGAAUGGCUGGUUCAUAGGGUUAGUAUAUGUUUAACUUUAAAAAAAAAUCUGCCAGAUAGUUUUUCCAAAGUUGACAUACCAUAUUAUAUCCUCAU